GAUACAAUAGCAAUGUACUUCUCUGGAAUCCUGUCUCUCGGCAAGGUUCCGAAGAACAAGGGAUUCUUACUAGAUUGAGCUCCAGCAUACGAAGUCGGGUCAACAUGUAACAUCCAUUUUGGAUGCUCUAGAAAUGCGCAAAACAGGUACAAGAGUAAGUGAGAAUCAGUUGGUAGUUCGUGAGUCCAUUUCUUGUUCUUUUUAUCGUAAACAUCCCCAUUUCCUUGAUACUCGUAAUUCUUCAAACAGGUUCCAUCAGCAAGUUCUGUGCAAACAAAUAGUGAUUCCGUAAUUUAGGUACACUGAAAAGUCUACCAAUGCAAAACAGAAACUGAACAUUAAAGGGACUGUUGAAAAUACCUCGAAUUCUU
rnacentral:lncRNA from 1 species